rnacentral:rRNA from 1 species
GACGAACGCUGGCGGCGUGCUUAAUACAUGCAAGUCGAGCGAAUGUAUAGUGAGGGUAACCUUAUUAUACAUGAGCGGCGGACGGGUGAGUAACGCGUGGGCAAUCUGCCAUCUAGCAUGGGAUAACAGUUCGAACGGACUGCUAAAACCGGAAAAUGAGUCACGAUGGCAUGCUCGCGCCUUUAAAACUUACACUCGAGGAUGAGCACGCGUCCCAUUAGCUAGUUGGUGAGGUAACGGCCCUCCAAGGCGACGAUGGGUGGCCGACCUGAGAGGGUGAACGGCCGCACUGGGACUGAGACGCGGCCCAGACUCCUACGGGAGGCAGCAGUAGGGAAUUUUCCGCAAUGGGCGAAAGCCUGACGGUGCAACGCCGCGCGAGGGAUGAAGGUUUUCGGAUCGUAAACCUCUGUCUUUAGGGACGAUAAUGACGGUACCUAAGGAGGAAGCCACGGCUAACUACGUGCCAGCCGCCGCCGUAAGAC